GGCCUGGUAGCAUAUGGUAUGCAUCUGCCAUUGUUGAUGCUGCAGUUGAAUAUUAGCAGAGAACCCGGUUCGACUCCGGGCUGGGCCA